CCGAGUGUAGCUCAGUUGGUAGAGCGAUUGACUGUAGUGUUCUAUACUGUGUUUCAGUAUUCUCGGAAAUCAAUUGGUCGCUGGUUCACUUCCGGCCACUCGGA
rnacentral:tRNA from 1 species